AGUGAACGCUGGCGGUAGGCCUAACACAUGCAAGUCGAACGGCAGCACAGUAAGAGCUUGCCCUUACGGGUGGCGAGUGGCGGACGGGUGAGGAAUACAUCGGAAUCUACUUUUUCGUGGGGGAUAACGUAGGGAAACUUACGCUAAUACCGCAUACGACCUACGGGUGAAAGCAGGGGAUCUUCGGACCUUGCGCGAUUGAAUGAGCCGAUGUCGGAUUAGCUAGUUGGCGGGGUAAAGGCCCACCAAGGCGACGAUCCGUAGCUGGUCUGAGAGGAUGAUCAGCCACACUGGAACGGAGACACGGUCCAGACUCCUAAGGGAGGCAGCAGUGGGGAAUAUUGGACAAUGGGCGCAAGCCUGAUCCAGCCAUACCGCGUGGGUGAAGAAGGCCUUCGGGUUGUAAAGCCCUUUUGUUGGGAAAGAAAAGCAGCAGGUUAAUACCCCGCUGUUCUGACGGUACCCAAAGAAUAAGCACCGGCUAACUUCGUG
rnacentral:rRNA from 1 species